rnacentral:rRNA from 1 species
UACGUAGGGGGCAAGCGUUGUCCGGAUUUAUUGGGCGUAAAGAGCGUGUAGGCGGCCAAGCAGGUCAGCUGUGAAAACUCGAGGCUCAACCUCGAGACGUCGGUUGAAACCGCUUGGCUAGAGUCCGGAAGAGGAGAGUGGAAUUCCCGGUGUAGCGGUGAAAUGCGCAGAUAUCGGGAAGAACACCCGUGGCGAAGGCGGCUCUCUGGGACGGUACUGACGCUGAGGCACGAAAGCCAGGGGAGCAAACGGG